GAUGAACGCUGGCGGCGUGCCUAAUACAUGCAUGUCGAGCGAACCACUUCGGUGGUGAGCGGCGAACGGGUGAGUAACACGUAGGUGAUCUGCUCAUCGGACGGGGACAACGAUUGGAAACGAUCGCUAAUACCGGAUAGGACGAAAGUUUAAAGGUGCUUCUGGCACCGCUGAUGGAUGAGCCUGCGGCGCAUUAGCUAGUUGGUAGAGUAAAGGCCUACCAAGGCGACGAUGCGUAGCCGACCUGAGAGGGUGAACGGCCACACUGGGACUGAGACACGGCCCAGACUCCUACGGGAGGCAGCAGUAGGGAAUCUUCGGCAAUGGGCGAAAGCCUGACCGAGCAACGCCGCGUGAAUGAUGAAGGCCUUCGGGUUGUAAAAUUCUGUUAUAAGGGAAGAACGACUUUAGUAGGAAAUGGCUAGAGUGUGACGGUACCUUAUGAGAAAGCCACGGCUAACUACGUGCCAGCCGCCGCGGUAAUAC
rnacentral:rRNA from 1 species